CCUGUGUCUGUGUCUUUCUUGUCUAUUCCCCUACAUCUUCCUUGUGUCUUUCCUCCUCAUGCUCCCAGUGGUGGAAUCACAUCUGAAGACACAUCGCCUCCUGAAAGAUCUUAUCCAGAGGAAUGAUGGUUUGCCCGAGAAACACGUCCAGACCGAUGAGAACUCGAUGCAUGACAGUGAGGACCAGGUCUCCGCUCCCCGGGGGGUACGAGCCCCGGCCGCCAUCCUCCAGGAUCCCCUGGAGCAGCUCGAAGCAGCACUCCUCGUUCCACUCGGGCAUCUCUGCCUUCUCCACCAGCCCGGUGGUGUACUUCUCCUUCCCCACCUGGAUGAUGGUGUAGAGGUAGCGGCUGCCGUGCUUGCCCUUGGUCCGCAGUCCUCUCGCGCGGAGGACGGUGACAUUCACGUGAGUGGGCACCCAUCGCUGCUCAUCAUCCAGAUCUAUCAGUGACAUCAUCUUGGACCGAUGCACAAGGGCUCAGCGGCUACCUAUCCUCAAGUGAACACUCCAAGAACUGCAACUCUUUGAACUUCCAAACUAGCUUCAUUUUUCAAAACCUGAGGUUGCCACUUCAGCAAGUCUAACUUGUUUAUGCUGCCCUCAAAUGGGCAAAAAAAAAGUUAGCAGCUGCAAGUUCAGAAUACCAAGUUAGUAACACAGUGUCAGUCCAUUGAGUGGUAAGUAGUUGGGGAGGUAUAAAGGCUGAAAAGACAAGCUAUCAUCUUUCAAUCGGUCUCCCCACACCAAACCGCACAGACUUAAACCACAGGGCCAUCAUACGCAUUGCAACCUCAAUAGAACAGGACAUCACACAUCCACU